GUUGUUGACAAGCUGAAAGGUGCUUUGUAGAGGAAAACUUUGUCUUUUCAAACUCACUUUGUGGCUAGAAAACACCAACUUCAAGAUGGAGCCCAGAAUUCUCUGUGGUAGCUCCGAAGCUCAGCUCUGGAAGAAGGAGUGUGGUGUUUCAGAAAGAGGAAGAGAGGAGGACAGGGAGCAGAGAAGGUGACUCUCCUCGGAACCCAGGGAUAGUCAGGAUGGGGCUUGAGCCAAACUUGUCCUUCACCAGAGAUGAAGCUGUCACCAGACUGACGUAAGGCCAGGCAGUCAGCCGCUGCCUCUGUUGGAAGCAGAAGCCCAUGGCAGUAACUGACCUGACCCCCAAAGACCUACAGGACCCCAGAUACCAGAGCUGGAACCUUGGGGUUGCUGGGGAUGCGGAGACUAAGAAUCAGAAAAAAGAAAGGAGUGGAGAGACCGUGCCGCAGACCAGAGGCAGACAGAGAGCCAGGUGUCCACAGGUGCAGGUCCCUCCUGUCACCGCAUAGUGGUAUCCAGGCAGAAGGAAGCCCAGGACGGACCCUGCAGCACAGAAGUGUCCUGCGCCUUCCCUGACCACCUCCCAGGGUGCUCCCAGAUGGUCAGGAAGCUGGGCACGGUCUGCCUUGGUGGCACCACCCAUCUCUUUUAGUGUGGCUUGAACAGUGCCAGCAGAGACACCCAGAGAAGUUGGUCAGAGGUGCCAGCUAGCAGGAGCAGGAAAAGCAGACCUGGGCCUCGGCAAAGCUGGUUUCUAACCCAGCAUAGGUUCUAAUGGGAAACCUUUUAACCCUUCUUUAAAAUGAUGUUAUAGUGUUGCUUCUCCAUGUGGAAUAACUAAUGUGCAUUCCUUUCCCCACAGACUGUCAUUUUCU
rnacentral:lncRNA from 1 species